CUCCUAAGAAGUCUCUUCUUUGCAUGCCACCUCUCGGGAUCCCAAGAUCCGUCAUUAAGGAAGCGUCUUGACAGACAAGAAGGCCAUCCAUCUAGAUAUCAUAUAGCCAAGUUUCAAUACAAAACUAAAAUCAGGGCUGUAAAAUUCCCUUGCCCUGCACCAAGGGAAAUUAGUGAGAGUGACAUCAUUAUCCCACACAUUCUUGCUUUCACUGCUUCCAAUAUAUAUAUAUCAGCACAAAUAUAACAUAUAUAUAUAAAAUGAGAAGAAGUUUCCAAUUGGUAGAAUACAGUACUUCUCAACAGCUUUUUUCCCUCUGGGAUCCUUCAGAAAUAUUCUAAUCCUAACUUCCCAGGCGCAUGCUAAUAUGCUUUGGAAUUGUGGGAAUUGUAGUCCGAUCAUUUUAGAAAAUCACCAGUCCAGGUAGAGCACCGUAUAAAGUAAACCUGAAUGCCCUCUAAAUUUUCCAAUUUAAAACCAUGGAUAUGUUUUUCGAGACAGAAGUUACGUGCUGUAUCCUUUCCCCUCCCACUCAGGUACUCAAAACUAAUCAGUUUGAAGGAGUCUUGACACCUCAAGACUCGCGGGUGAACAGGAGAUUGAUUGAUAGGUUCUUUCCGCUCUCUAACAUGCUUUCAGUAGAACACAGUACAUAUUUGGGUUUCCCUCCGCCCCUCCCCCCCGCCUGUAACGACUAGGCAGAAGCUGAAUUAGCCCCGUUCUGCACCGAGAAAAGCUUAGCUUGUUGAUCGGCCGGCAGCGACUUAAAAGCAUAAGGCCGGGGAGGGGGGGGCACUCGCCUCAUCCCACGGGCCGAAGCGCGUGCGAACCUGCCUUCUUACUCCACCCUUCGGAAAGGGUCGGGUGCGUUACCUCCGGGACUGGCAGAGGGCGGAACAGAAGGGGGGCAGAGCUUCCCCGCCUUCCUCCCUCCCGCCAUUACAGCGACAAGGGAGUACAAAAAGAGCGAGCGAGCGCCUGCGCAGCGGUGCCGCCCCCUUGCCUCGCACUUGAGUGAGCGCGGGGGAAUCGGGCCGAGGCGGGGAAGCGGCCUCACGGGCGAGUGGUCGGCUGCGGCCGCUUUCCUCGUUCUCCUGUUUGCGGAAAGGGAGAAGGCGGAAGGAUGGCGGAAACUGUGGGGUUGAGUUCUAAAGCCGCAGCUUCAGCGGCGCCGUCAUUCCGCGCCACGGUUAUAGCUGCUGGAGCCUUUCCCCCCACUGCUUCUAAGAUCCCGCAGAGGUGGAAGCACCUUCGCAGCCUCGGGGCCGCUAGCUGAACUACCGCUUCCUGGUGCUUCUUUGCCGUGGACAUUUCGUUCUCUACUCCGUCUCGCCGGCGGAUCCCACUGAAAGGAGCCGCGGUAGAAGAAGGAAGAAAGAGAAGGUGGUAGCGGAGGAAAAACCAUGGGCGCUAAGCAGAGCGGCCCGGCGGCCACCAAUGGCCGAACCCGGGCUUAUUCCGGGGGAGACUUGCCAUCGGGCAGCGGCGGCGUUAACGGGACGGGCGGGCGGCCGGUAGGCGGAGCGAUGAGAUACACACACCUGGUGCCUGGCGCGCACCACGCGGCCUCCGGCUCCUCUAUGAAUAGUGGGGCAGCGACGGCGGCGGCUCCCCCUUUGGUAGCCUCCAGGAGUAGGUCUCUGGGCGGGCCAACCGCCUCCGGGACUCGAACGGCUCACACUGCCUUCAACAUCCCCAAUAGCAGCGGCCUCUAUGGCUCUCAAGACUCGGUCAGCAGCACUCCCGAGGAAGGGGGACGGGCACGAGCCACGGCUAGUGGAGGGGCAGAAGGACCCGGCGAGAGAAGCGGCGGACCACGGCUAGUUAUCGGCUCGCUGCCCGCGCACCUUUCGCCUCAUCUUUUUGGAGGAUUCAAAUGCCCAGUUUGUUCCAAAUUUGUAUCUUCAGAGGAAAUGGAUUUACAUCUUGUGAUGUGUUUGACAAAACCAAGGAUAACCUAUAAUGAGGAUGUGCUGAGUAAAGAUGCUGGAGAAUGUGCAAUAUGCUUGGAUGAACUGCAGCAAGGAGAUACAAUAGCACGGUUGCCUUGUUUAUGCAUAUAUCAUAAAGGGUGCAUAGAUGAAUGGUUUGAAGUAAAUAGAUCUUGUCCUGAGCAUCCCUCAGAUUAAUCACCAAGUUGCUGUUUUUAAAUGUUGCUUUCAGCAUCGACAUCCAAUCAGUCAAGCUGACUCAGGAGGGGGGAUCCGUUGGAUACUCAGGCAUUGGAACGAAGUCCAUACCACUCAAUAUUUUGAAAGGCGUGACUCCUGUGCUACUGUGAACAGCAUUAUUAUACGUGACCUCAGCAAAAGAUAAAAGGUCUGCCCAAUUGGACUGCUGAUAGUUCACCUAGCACCUCAGUUUCUUACACUGCUCAUCAGAAGUAAUAGAUGUCAAGUUCCAUCAUUAGAAGUUAAUCUGAAAGUGAAUUUAUGUUCGUUUUGGAGUGGGAAAGAAGAAGAUGGAACAAGUAUGGGACAUGAUGCAAAGCAGAAUCCUCAGUGUACCAAAUGCUCAUGUAAAAACAACAUAGGGAUUGUGAAAAUGCUGCACAUCCUGAAAAAAUCCUAUCCCACAAACUUCAUAGAUAUUUUAUAUUUACAGACCAAAGUUAACUUUCAGUUUUUUUCAAAUCAGUAUACAAAAACAGAAUUUUUGACGUAAUUCCUUGAACAGAAGCUGAAUGCUCUACGUCAGUCUGAAACAUUAUGCAAGGAAGAUGCCAUUUUAGAGUUGGAAUCACGUAUUCCUUUUUAUCACAGUAAAGAAGACAAACUAUGAGAUACAGAGAUUCUUCAUCCAAUAUGCUGUUCACAUUUUUUAUGGAAAAUAAUGCAAUGUUUUUUUCUUUGAAUCUUUGCAAAUUUUAUAAGUAAAGCUUUGUCACAGUUUAGUCCAAAGAACAAAUGCAAUCAAAGCUAAUUCUGAAUUAAUAUUUAUGAUCCAAUUAGAGUUAUUGAAAUCCAUAAUCUCUUCUCAUUUCUGCAUAAUAAUUUUUUUCUGCUUGUAAAUCUCAGUGCAGAAAUUUUGAAAAUUCAUAAUCUAGCAGCUAUGCAAUAUUUUUUUUAAAAAAACCUUAUAGGGACAUGCAAAUAACAUAUUUCAAAAUGCUGCCAGUUGAUCUAAUUUAACGGGUAUUAUAUUUUUAAUGUUUCAGGUAGUUAUUUUCUUAUACUAUCACAUUUACCAAGCCAUUUUUCCUCAGUGGCCACAAAGAUAGGCAAGAUGAAUGUUUCAUUGGGAUAAUAUCUGGCCUUUUAAAAACUUUUAUAUUAAGAUUACUGUAUCUCAAUGGCUGGUCAUAGCAGAUUAUAGUAAUUUGCAACGAAGUCGUUGAUAUAGUAGCUGUAAUCCUACACCCAGACAUAUGUGCUUCUUGUCUGAUAAAAACAGACUUUAUAUUUUCUGGGUUUAGGAUUAACAACAUUGCCUGUAUUCUUGAAUCUGUAAUACUUUGCUACACAAUUGUGUCUUAUCAUAAAUUGUAAAAAUGGGCUUUCUCUGAUAGGGUAGAGAAGAAGCUCAUCAAGUAAAAUUAUGAGUUGUUAAUAUAUUUGAGGAUGUUUUUGGAAGCAAUUAAAGUAUCUUGUAAAGUUUGAUAACAUGAAAAAGUAUUUAAUAAAGGUGAUGGAAACUUAACAUGAAACUUAAAAUAAGAAAAAUAAGAUAUGUAUCAGAUUAUUUCAUUAUAUUCUGUUCCCCUAAGAUCAUUUUACAAACAAUUUUCUGCUGAUUAUUAUUGUUAUUAACUACUGCUGUUACAUUGUGCAUUAUUCAUAUGCAUAUAGAAAUAUUUAGUACAUUGUUGUACAUUCACAACUGUUAAAAUUUUAGACCAAAUAUUAAAUUCAUGAAUAAUGUCUUUUGCAGUGUAUUAAAUUCUAUAGCUAGCAAACUUUACCUUCUUCAGAAAGAAAACAAAUACUGUAUUUUCCUUUUCUGGUUCAAUAUUACAUAGUGGUCAGAAGUUGAUGUUCAGCAAGCAUGAAAUUCAGAAACCACAUUUGCUUGCAAUGUGCAAAAAAAAAAAAAAAAAAUUCAGAAAGAGGCAUUUAUAGGAAAAAAAAAUGAGUGACAAGUCACCAGAACCUGAUUUCCCAUUCACUGGUUUUCCUCUAAAGAGUUUGUUUCAAUUUGUAUAACCACCCCCAUGUUCUUUUAUUCAGAACAUCUAAGACAACUGUAAUUAAAACAAAAUAUUGGCUGUGUAGUGUGGAGAUAAAAGCCUUCAUAAUUAUGAGAGUUAAUUUGUUUUGGGGUUUUUUUGGUGUUUUUUUUUUAACUAGAUCAACUUUUAAGAACCAGGUACAAAAUACUGAGAUCAGUCAGAGCCAAGUACAAAGGACUGUAACUAGAAGUAAAACAAAGUUUUGGAUACAAAAUACUUUUGAGAAUAAGAAUCAAAAUUAGCUUUUUCAACUAAAUAUUUUUUCUAGCGUAAUUAUCUCAACCCUUCAUUUUACUUGUUUCAAAUAAUUUUAUUAAGAAUUUUACAUGUAAAAGAUAGAAGUUGAUACAUACUAAAAAAGUACAAAGAGGUACAAAAAAGAAGGGGGGGUUGAAAAACAGAUGGGGAAAAAGGAAAGAGAAGGAAAAAGAAAGUAACUUCCUCUUUCAUCCCAGCAGGUUAAAAAAAAUUAAUAGUUUAUCACCACUUCUAAAUGAAACAUAAUCUCCCUGCCUCCAUAGGUCAUCUCUUAGAUAAGGAAAACAAAAUUCAAAUGCUCCAUUAAGGAUUUCUGCUCCAUUGUCCUUAGUGUCCAGCCUCCAAGCUUUCCUUAUUUUUAAAAAAAGCCUCUGAAAACAACCCCAUUUUCUCAUGACAAAGUAUCUUCUAAAUAAUUUAAAACUAUAAUUCCAAAUACCUUUGACCCCUUAAUGCAUUACUAAUUUUCCACGCUCUUAUAUUAAGUACACUUUUGGUGCAUAGUCCAAAAUAUUAUUUUUAAAACCUUCAAAAUCAAAUUUACUGUCUUUUAAGGAGAGAGAAACUUACCUGUUGAAUACAGUAGAAUCUUGCAAGUCCAAAGGUCUCAAUCUCUUCAAUAUGCAAA